GAGCAUCACCUUCAUCGGGUGCAAACUGGCCUUUGGCAUUGCGUAACAUGCGAUGAAAAUUGAAAAAACGUUCUGUGCCAUGUCGAAGUUCAAGCACAAGAUUAUCGUAAGCACCUUGAAGAUAACGUUGCUCUAUCAUAGGACGAACCCACCAUCGAGCUGUUCUCCGAAUGACUUGUUCUUGCCUUUUUAAUCGUCGUUUUCUUCGCAGGACUGAAAGAAUAAUGAUGUGACGCAAUCUUUGCCGCGCAUAUGGAGUCGCUUUCCGCAGCCGUUUGCCGGAGCUCACCGCAUGCAUGGAGUCUUAGCUUAACGGUUGUCCGAUCUACCGGCAACCUCCGGUCAUGUAUUGUAUACAAUAACAUUUGUGUUCGUAUAAUAAAGUCUGUGCUGUGAUUACAA